rnacentral:rRNA from 1 species
AGGACGAACGCUGGCGGCGUGCUUAACACAUGCAAGUCGAGCGGUAAGGCCUUUCGGGGUACACGAGCGGCGAACGGGUGAGUAACACGUGGGUGAUCUGCCCUGCACUUCGGGAUAAGCCUGGGAAACUGGGUCUAAUACCGGAUAUGACCUCAGGUUGCAUGACUUGGGGUGGAAAGAUUUAUCGGUGCAGGAUGGGCCCGCGGCCUAUCAGCUUGUUGGUGGGGUAAUGGCCUACCAAGGCGACGACGGGUAGCCGACCUGAGAGGGUGACCGGCCACGACUGGGACUGAGACACGGCCCAGACUCCUACGGGAGGCAGCAGUGGGAAUAUUGCACAAUGGGCGAAAGCCUGAUGCAGCGACGCCGCGUGAGGAUGAAGGCCUUCGGGUUGUAAACCGUCUUUCAGCAGGACGAAGCGCAAGUGACGUACCUGACAGAAGAAGCACCGGCUAACUACGUGACCAGCAGCCGC